GCCUAGGUGGCUCAGUUGGUUGAGCGUCUGACUUCGGCUCAGGUCACGAUCUCACGGUCUGUGAGUUUGAGCCCCGCAUUAGGCU
rnacentral:tRNA from 1 species